AGUGAGGGAUUACACAGAUUGCAGCUGAUUACAGGGGAGAUUAUCUGUGCUGUUACAAAGUGGAGAUGGACUGGGAUUACCUCCCAGUUUACGUCUAUUUAAAUAAAACCCUAAAUAAAAAACAAAAGGAUGUAGUUGUUAUAUGUAAUUACAAUUACUUUCAGGAAAAGACAGUGGGUUCUUUUUCCUUUCUUUUCUUGUUUUUCCUGUAAUUAGCAGUUAAUCCGUGGUGCUUUUUUCCAUGUUAGGGAGAGGUCAGUGAACGUGUCAGAGCCGGAGUCUCUGGAGCUGACAGUUUCCAACCUGAAGCCGGAGGAGAGCUACAGCUUCAGAGUUGUCGCUUAUAACGAUGUUGGGCCAGGAGAGAGCUCCGCCCCCCUCAAGAUCACCACAAAACCUGAUCUCCAAGUUCCCAGCAAGGUGGAGUCUCUCCGAGCGUUGGCUCUUUCUCCAACCUCCGUUCAGGUUAGCUGGGAGCCACCCAGCUUUCCGAACGGCCCCAUCCUGGGCUACAGGCUGCUGUGGACCGAGAGCCCGUCGGGCAAGGAGCAGAGUGUGGAGGUGAAUGGACAAAACUAUAAGAUGGAGGGACUCAACAAGUUCACAGAGUACACAGUUCGAGUUUUGGGCAUCAAUCGCUAUGGACCAGGGACUGCCUCAGAUGCCGUCAGUGUCACCACCCAAUCAGAUGUACCCAGCGCUCCUCCACAAAACAUCACCUUAGAGGUCGUCCUGUCCAGGGUGAGUUUAAAUACCCAUAUUUUUAUUCCCUCUUCUCUCUGCUCACAUCCGUACACUGCAACAACAUCCACAUCAUAAUCUGCUCCAUUCGUGGUGGUAUUACCAGUAAAAUCCAACGUUAUCCCCUUGAACAGAAAGACUCUUUCACCUUUUACGAUCUGAGCUUACAGACUUUAACAUCACUGCCUGACUUUCCAGGUUCUGUCUCCCUUGAAGUGACUGAUGGCUGCUUAUUCUGACCCACAUCUAAACAGU